rnacentral:tRNA from 1 species
GACCCAUUAGCUCAGGUGGUAGAGCACUUGACUUUUAAUCAAGGUGUCCGGGGUUCGAGUCCCCGAUGGGUCACCA